GUUUCCGUAGGUGAACCUGCUGCUGGAUCAUUACUCACACACCGUGAUGGUCACAUAAUAUUUUGAAAAGCUGAAACACUCAUGUAUGUGUGUUUUCGGCCCGCAACUUUGUGUUGUGUAACGGCUGACGCUGGUGUCUGUGUGUUGCUGAGCAGUUGUGACAAACGUCCGUGGCUGUGAUGAGGCAAUGCGGUAGGACCCAAAAAGGUUUAAGACUUAAUGAGCCCUGAAGAUAUGAGGGGACGCCAGCACCAUUUUUUUUAUUACAAUUUUUAAACAAAUUAUGUUCUAGUCUCCUCGGUGGAUCACUCGGCUCAUGGAUCGAUGAAGAACGUAGCUAGAUGCGAUACUUAACGUGAAACGCAUGAUCAUUGAACGUCCAACUUUUGAAUGCAAAUUGCGUCAAUGGAGUCAAAUUCAUUGACACGUCUGGUUCAGGGUCUUUUCCAAAAAUUGCAUAGCACUUUGUGCGCAAUUCAAUUCUCUCUGAUCAUGUUUGUUGUUCAGAAAUGACAUUGUAGAGUGUGACUGUUGUUUCGAAUGUUUUGGCGGAAAACAUAUGGGUUUCCAAAUGCCUGUGUAUUUCGCAUCAGUCAUACUAUAUGAAUGUAUAUGAAUUUUUGACCUGAACUCGGUCGUGAGCACCCGCUGAACUUAAGCAUAU
rnacentral:rRNA from 1 species